rnacentral:rRNA from 1 species
CUAGCGAGCCACCUCCACCCGUGUUUACUGUACCUUAGUUGCUUCGGCGGGCCCGCCAUUCGUGGCCGCCGGGGGCUCUCAGCCCCGGGCCCGCGCCCGCCGGAGACACCACGAACUCUGUCUGAUCUAGUGAAGUCUGAGUUGAUUGUAUCGCAAUCAGUUAAAACUUUCAACAAUGGAUCUCUUGGUUCCGGCAUCGAUGAAGAACGCAGCGAAAUGCGAUAACUAGUGUGAAUUGCAGAAUUCCGUGAAUCAUCGAGUCUUUGAACGCACAUUGCGCCCCCUGGUAUUCCGGGGGGCAUGCCUGUCCGAGCGUCAUUGCUGCCCAUCAAGCACGGCUUGUGUGUUGGGUCGUCGUCCCCUCUCCGGGGGGGACGGGCCCCAAAGGCAGCGGCGGCACCGCGUCCGAUCCUCGAGCGUAUGGGGCUUUGUCACCCGCUCUGUAGGCCCGGCCGGCGCUUGCCGAACGCAAAUCAAUCU